rnacentral:tRNA from 1 species
GGGCCGUUAGUCUAAAAAUUUAAGAUAUUUGAUUUCGGCUCAAAAGCUUCUGGUGAAACCCCAAAACGGCCUU